UGUAAUGCUGAGAAAGGUAAAAACACCUUCAA
rnacentral:piRNA from 1 species